CCUACGGGUGGCUGCAGUGGGGAAUAUUGGACAAUGGGCGAAAGCCUGAUCCAGCCAUGCCGCGUGUGUGAAGAAGGCCUUCGGGUUGUAAAGCACUUUCAGUGGGGAAGAAAGCCUUGGGGCUAAUACCCUCGAGGAAGGACAUCACCCACAGCAGAAGCACCGGCUAACUCCGUGCCAGCAGCCGCGGUAAUACGGAGGGUGCGAGCGUUAAUCGGAAUUACUGGGCGUAAAGCGCGCGUAGGCGGUCUGAUAAGCCGGUUGUGAAAGCCCCGGGCUCAACCUGGGAACGGCAUCCGGAACUGUCAGGCUAGAGUGCAGGAGAGGAAGGUAGAAUUCCCGGUGUAGCGGUGAAAUGCGUAGAGAUCGGGAGGAAUACCAGUGGCGAAGGCGGCCUUCUGGACUGACACUGACGCUGAGGUGCGAAAGCGUGGGUAGCAAACAGGAUUAGAUACCCUAGUAGUC
rnacentral:rRNA from 1 species